UGUCCAGACUCCUACGGGAGGCAGCAGUGGGGGAUAUUGCACAAUGGGGGAAACCCUGAUGCAGCGACGCCGCGUGAGUGAAGAAGUAAUUCGUUACGUAAAGCUCUAUCAGCAGGGAAGAAAAUGACGGUACCUGACUAAGAAGCCCCGGCUAACUACGUGCCAGCAGCCGCGGUCAUACGUAGGAUCCGAGCAUUAUCCGGAGUGACUGGGUGUAAAGAGUUGCGUAGGUGGCAUAAUAAGUAGCUAGUGAAAUCUGGUGGCUCAACCAUUCAGACUAUUAGCUAAACUGUUAAGCUCGAGACCGUUAGGGGUAACUGGAAUUUCUAGUGUAGGAGUGAAAUCCGUAGAUAUUAGAAGGAACACCAAUAGCGUAGGCAGGUUACUGGGACGGUUCUGACACUAAGGCACGAAAGCGUAGGGAGCAAACGGGAUUAGAUACCCGCGUACA
rnacentral:rRNA from 1 species